CUACGUGCCAGCAGCCGCGGUAAUACGGAAGGUCCGGGCGUUAUCCGGAUUUAUUGGGUUUAAAGGGAGCGUAGGCUGGAGAUUAAGUGUGUUGUGAAAUGUAGACGCUCAACGUCUGACUUGCAGCGCAUACUGGUUUCCUUGAGUACGCACAACGUUGGCGGAAUUCGUCGUGUAGCGGUGAAAUGCUUAGAUAUGACGAAGAACUCCGAUUGCGAAGGCAGCUGACGGGAGCGCAACUGACGCUGAAGCUCGAAGGUGCGGGUAUCGAACAGGAUUAGAUACCCUGGUAGUCCGCACAGUAAACGAUGGAUGCCCGCUGUUGGUACCUGGUAUCAGCGGCUAAGCGAAAGCAUUAAGCAUCCCACCUGGGGAGUACGCCGGCAACGGUGAAACUCAAAGGAAUUGACGGGGGCCCGCACAAGCGGAGGAACAUGUGGUUUAAUUCGAAGCAACGCGAAGAACCUUACCAGGUCUUGACAUCCCUCUGACCGCUCUAGAGAUAGAGCUUUC
rnacentral:rRNA from 1 species